UAAGCCUGUGAAGGUGUGUCGUGAGGCAUGCUGGAGGUAUCAGAAGUGCGAAUGCUGACAUAAGUAACGAUAAAGCGGGUGAAAAGCCCGCUCGCCGGAAGACCAAGGGUUCCUGUCCAACGUUAAUCGGGGCAGGGUGAGUCGACCCCUAAGGCGAGGCCGAAAGGCGUAGUCGAUGGGAAACGGGUUAAUAUUCCCGUACUUGGUGUUACUGCGAAGGGGGGACGGAGAAGGCUAUGUUGGCCGGGCGACGGUUGUCCCGGUUUAAGCGUGUAGGUGUGUGUUCCAGGUAAAUCCGGUUCACUUUAACACUGAGGCGUGACGACGAGGCACUACGGUGCUGAAGCAACAAAUGCCCUGCUUCCAGGAAAAGCCUCUAAGCAUCAGGUAACAUCAAAUCGUACCCCAAACCGACACAGGUGGUCAGGUAGAGAAUACCAAGGCGCUUGAGAGAACUCGGGUGAAGGAACUAGGCAAAAUGGUGCCGUAACUUCGGGAGAAGGCACGCUGACACGUAGGUGAAGUGAUUUACUCAUGGAGCUGAAGUCAGUCGAAGAUACCAGCUGGCUGCAACUGUUUAUUAAAAACACAGCACUGUGCAAACACGAAAGUGGACGUAUACGGUGUGACGCCUGCCCGGUGCCGGAAGGUUAAUUGAUGGGGUCAGCGCAAGCGAAGCUCCUGAUCGAAGCCCCGGUAAACGGCGGCCGUAACUAUAACGGUCCUAAGGUAGCGAAAUUCCUUGUCGGGUAAGUUCCGACCUGCACGAAUGGCGUAAUGAUGGCCAGGCUGUCUCCACCCGAGACUCAGUGAAAUUGAACUCGCUGUGAAGAUGCAGUGUACCCGCGGCAAGACGGAAAGACCCCGUGAACCUUUACUAUAGCUUGACACUGAACAUUGAGCCUUGAUGUGUAGGAUAGGUGGGAGGCUUUGAAGUGUGGACGCCAGUCUGCAUGGAGCCGACCUUGAAAUACCACCCUUUAAUGUUUGAUGUUCUAACGUGGACCCGUGAUCCGGGUUGCGGACAGUGUCUGGUGGGUAGUUUGACUGGGGCGGUCUCCUCCUAAAGAGUAACGGAGGAGCACGAAGGUUGGCUAAUCCUGGUCGGACAUCAGGAGGUUAGUGCAAUGGC
rnacentral:rRNA from 1 species